UGGAAUGAGAUUUCGGUCAAAUGAAGUUGAGGACAGUGGCGGACGGGUGAGUAACGCGUGAGGAACCUGCCUUUCAGAGGGGGACAACAGUUGGAAACGACUGCUAAUACCGCAUAACACAUUGAGGUCGCAUGGCCUUGAUGUCAAAGAUUUAUCGCUGAAAGAUGGCCUCGCGUCUGAUUAGCUAGUUGGUGAGGUAACGGCCCACCAAGGCGACGAUCAGUAGCCGGACUGAGAGGUUGAACGGCCACAUUGGGACUGAGAUACGGCCCAGACUCCUACGGGAGGCAGCAGUGGGGAAUAUUGGGCAAUGGGCGCAAGCCUGACCCAGCAACGCCGCGUGAAGGAAGAAGGCUUUCGGGUUGUAAACUUCUUUUGCAAGGGAAGAGAAGAAGACGGUACCUUGUGAAUAAGCCACGGCUAACUACGUGCCAGCAGCCGCGGUAAUACGUAGGUGGCAAGCGUUGUCCGGAUUUACUGGGUGUAAAGGGCGUGUAGCCGGGUCGGUAAGUCAGAUGUGAAAUCUAUGAGCUCAACUCAUAAACUGCAUUUGAAACUGCUGAUCUUGAGUAUCGGAGAGGCAAUCGGAAUUCCUAGUGUAGCGGUGAAAUGCGUANAUAUUAGGAGGAACACCAGUGGCGAAAGGCGGAUUGCUGGAC
rnacentral:rRNA from 1 species